ensembl:snoRNA R08C7.19 ncRNA
GGGCGGAACCGAAAUUGUGAAUUUUGCAGCCAACGCACGCUUUUUCAGCAACCCUCGCGCGUUUUUUACCGUGCGAGGGUUGCGCAAAAAGCGCGCGGGUGUUGCGAAAUUCAAACUCUCGGCUCCACCCACUG